GGGGGUGAAAGGUUUCGAUCUGGGUAGAUCGAGGCGGGAGUGGCAUGUGGAGGUUUCAGGAGGCCUCCUUAAACACCUGAACAUAUAAACGCAAACUCGAAUAGAGUAGCGGGAUUUCAGCUUGCUGGGAUUCCUGCUGGCGUAACAGUCCUCAACUAAUAAAAGUUGAGGCCUCCUUUAGUCAGGCCUACGGGGCUAAAGGAGUCGUGAAGUAGGAUAGUCUGGUAUUCUCGCUUUUGGGAUACCGGACGAAACUAAAGAAAGCUUUUCUCUCUCAAAUCCUGUUUAUUGGAGUUGAGUGAGAGAACCUAAAAAAUAAACUAAACAUGUAGAGGCUCUUGCUACGGGACUCAGGGACGCGAGUUCGAAUCUCGCCACCUCCACCA
rnacentral:tmRNA from 1 species